CAGAAUUCUAGCAGGGCUCUCCUGCUAUUCAGAAAGUUACAACUGUGCCCUCUCCAGCAAAGUCUGGAUCUCAGCCAGCCCUAAGAGUGUGUCUGUGUCUUGGAGGAGCUCUUUUUGAGAUGCUGUAUCUCAGCCCUAGGGUUAGUGCAAGCCCAGAGGCAGUCUAUACCCCAACUCAACUGGCUGGUCCUCAAUGCUGCCUGCUUCCGUGCCCAACUUAGAACUACACAUCUGCUGCCUCUUGGUAACAUGUCAUUAUAAGGCUUCUUCAUCAGCCCUAACCCUGCCAACCACUCCUGCCUCACUGAAUGUGCCAACGGAUUGCUCAGCUCCAACCAAGGAAAAGAAGAAGGAAGUUGGAUACUUUAUACCCUCUACAUUGUCCAUUAGCAACACAACCUAGAGCUAGGAUGGAGAAAGAAAAUGCCAAAAUGCUAAUGAAAAAUGUUCAGAUGUAUCACAUAUUAAGCAUACAUGAUCUCAAAUAUUUUGCCUGAUUUAUGCUAUGCAUGCUAUUUUCCAUGUUGUGUAGGCUCUGAUGCUAGUCUACAUUUACAGAAAUCUCCAUCAGCUGUACAAAUGGCAAUUUAAAUACAUUUAACUAUGUGCUAAUAAUCUCAUAAUACAAUUUAUCAUGUAUGAUUGGCAGAAGAAAUUAUUUGGGGCAAAAGCUAUGAUUGUAUUGUUGUAAGUUAUUAUGAAUGCUGGGCAGUGUAGGGCAUGGCACUUGCUACCACCUCCCAGAAAUGUGUAAGGGCUGUUGAAGGUGCCUUGUUCUUCUUUCUUCUUCAAUAUAAGCAAAGCUAUUUAUAUCAUAAAGCUGA
rnacentral:lncRNA from 10 species